rnacentral:rRNA from 1 species
AUGAACGCUGGCGGCGUGCCUAAUACAUGCAAGUCGAGCGAACAGAUGAGGAGCUUGCUCCUCUGACGUUAGCGGCGGACGGGUGAGUAACACGUGGAUAACCUACCUAUAAGACUGGGAUAACUUCGGGAAACCGGAGCUAAUACCGGAUAAUAUAUUGAACCGCAUGGUUCAAUAGUGAAAGACGGUUUUGCUGUCACUUAUAGAUGGAUCCGCGCCGCAUUAGCUAGUUGGUAAGGUAACGGCUUACCAAGGCGACGAUGCGUAGCCGACCUGAGAGGGUGAUCGGCCACACUGGAACUGAGACACGGUCCAGACUCCUACGGGAGGCAGCAGUAGGGAAUCUUCCGCAAUGGGCGAAAGCCUGACGGAGCAACGCCGCGUGAGUGAUGAAGGUCUUCGGAUCGUAAAACUCUGUUAUUAGGGAAGAACAAAUGUGUAAGUAACUAUGCACGUCUUGACGGUACCUAAUCAGAAAGCCACGGCUAACUAC